rnacentral:rRNA from 1 species
UACGGAGGGCGCAAGCGUUGUUCGGAAUUACUGGGCGUAAAGCGCGUGUAGGCGGUUCGGUAAGUCGGGUGUGAAAGCCCGGAGCUCAACUCCGGAAUUGCAUUCGAAACUGCCGGGCUAGAGUCUCGGAGGGGAGGGCAGAAGUCCCAGUGUAGGGGUGAAAUCCGUAGAUAUUGGGAGGAAUACCAGCGGCGAAGGCGGCCCUCUGGACGAUGACUGACGCUCAGACGCGAAAGCGUGGGGAGCAAACAGG